UUGAAAGUGAAGGACUACAAUCUGAGUUAAAGAAAUAAUCUUUCGUAGGCAUAAUCAUUUUUUAGGGGAGUUUUGAGGUAAAUUACUACAACAGAGGCUGGAAGGUAAUGAAUAUUGACGAGAGGGUGGUUAAGUCUAAGCCAUAGUGAUUUAGAAGAGUAGGACAAUAGUGGAUGGGGAGUCUCAUUCAAUGCGUUGAUCAUGAGUAGCAUAAAGUAAUAAUUAAGAAAGGUUAAUAGUAGUGCACAGUAUAUCAAUUAAUAGGUACUAGUACAGACAAGAGAACCUGAGGAGAUGUCACUGAGCCCCUGAAUUAGCAGGGAAAUGACCACUGUAAAUGUUUAUGACAGGACGCAGGGGUCCCGGCUGGUGGGGCAAAUUUACGACAGGGCACUUUUGCAAGUUUACGAUAGGAGGAGCAGAUGGUUGAUCGGAAGAGACUGAGCGGCCGGUCAUUCGCCAGCUGAUGUCGGAGUCGGUUGAUGAUCGUUGGCUGGUCAGAAUCUGGUGGGGACACACUUGAGCCAGCCUGAAGAAUCUCACCAACAAAGACGUCUCCUUCCUGCUGUGUACCAUGGCACCUGCCCAGCCGGGCUGGAACAAUGGAUGAGGUACUAGCGACACCCACAGGCGGCGGAAAUCCACUGCAACCUGGAUUAACUGAUCACAGUCUUCACUGGACUUGAAUGGGAUCUAAUAUUUUAAGAACUUUACAUGAAUGCCACUAGUGACUGUAUUUUUGCAAACUUGAAUGUCUGAUGUCAAAUCUGUUGUCAACCGAACACGAAUGCCACAUUGCAAAUAUUAGUGUUCCCAACAAUCACAUACACUUGAAACAUUCAUUACCGGGAUUGGUUUUAAACCACAAAAUAAUCCUAAAAUGGAAAAGUAACACUCAGAGGUGGUCUAGCUUCCCUUCCGGUCCACGAGGUGACGAGGACACAUCGGACCCUUCCGCACUGCUCCGAGCUACCCUUUUUGGGGGCCUGGGCACUCCGUAGGGACGGUAGCGGGCACUACACGUCUGCUCCGAACGUCUUGCAAGCAGAGACGCCCGGGGUGGGAACUUUUUGUGCUCCUUUUCUUUUUCUUCCUCCUUUCCGCCAAAUCCACCUGUUUCCCGUGCAGACCGAGCCGGCCGAACACCCGGAAGCUCGACCUGCCUCUCAAAUCCAACAUUGAGGUCUACUAAAAGUACAGAUUAGUGCAUAUUUGGGUUCAAAUUAACAAGAACAGGAAUCCUCAGCUAUAUGCAUUGUCACUACACGACCAUCCCACCCUCACAUCAAAAGUCAGUUUCCUUUCCCAAUGUUCAUCUGUCCUUCGUUUGUUUUGUUUUUCUCUGCAUUGCUUCCCUGUAGAUUCCCCAUGUUAGAUCCUUAUAUUUUCUAUAAAAUUCACUACCUGCAUUGUUGUGUGUGUUUGGGUUCGAGAAAAAAAAAAACUCUGGUCAUCUAGAACUCUUAUCAAUUCAUGUAGCAACCUUCAAAUUACGAGAGUGAGGAUAAAAGGUUUAUUGUCACUUUGUCCUGAAGUUUUAUACAUCUAAAAAGUGACAUGGUGCCCCUUUCUAGAUAAAAUAGCUUGAUUUAUAAUGCUGUAAUUUAAAAUUAUGCUAAACUGGAAGUAACGCAGGUGUCGCUUCCAUCUUAUUCUUUUCUCCUAAAUUAAUUA